GAACGGGUGAGUAACACGUGGGCAAUCUGCCCUGCACUCUGGGAUAAUCCCCGGGAAACUGGGUCUAAUACCGGAUACGUCACAUGAGGGCAUCCUCGUGUGUGGAAAGUUCCGGCGGUGCAGGAUGAGCCCGCGGGCCUUUCAGCUUGUUGGUGGGGUAGUGUCCUACCAAGGCGACGACGGGUAGCCGGCCUGAGAGGGUGACCGGCCACACUGGGACUGAGACACGGCCCAGACUCCUACGGGAGGCAGCAGUGGGGAAUAUUGCACAAUGGGCGAAAGCCUGAUGCACCGACGCCGCGUGAGGGAUGAACGGCCUUCGGGUUGUAAACCUCUUUCAGCAGGGAAGAAGCGAAAGUGACGGUACCUGCAGAAGAAGCACCGGCUAACUACGUGCCAGCAACCGCGGUAAUACGUAGGGUGCAAGCGUUGUCCGGAAUUAUUGGGCGUAAAGAGCUCGUAGGCGGCCUGUCGCGUCAAUUGUGGAAAGCCCAGGGCUUAACCCUGGGUCUGCAGUCGAUACGGGCAGGCUAGAGUUCGGUAGGGGAGAUCGGAAUUCCUGGUGUAUCCGUGAAAUGCGCAAAUAUCAAGAGGAACACCGGUGGCGAAGGCGGAUCUCUGG
rnacentral:rRNA from 1 species